rnacentral:misc_RNA from 1 species
AACCAUAGAAACCUGCGGAGUACCUGCGGAAGGAUCAUUACAGAGAACUUGCCCGUCUGGGUAGAUCUCCCACCCUUUGUUUACUAUACCUUUGUUGCUUUGGCAAGCCUGUCUUGUGACUACUGGCCUCCAGCUAGUAAGUGCUUGCCAGAGGACCCCAAACACUUUACAUUGUGUUGUCUGAGUAGUACAGAAAUUUUUAAAACUUUUAACAACGGAUCUCAGAUCGGAAGAGCACAC